rnacentral:rRNA from 1 species
GACGAACGCUGGCGGCGUGCUUAACACAUGCAAGUCGAACGGAAAGACCCUGCUUUUGUGGGGUUCUCGAGUGGCGAACGGGUGAGUAACACGUGAGUAACCUGCCCUUCACUUUGAGAUAACUUCAGGAAACUGGGGUUAAUACCGUAUAGGAGCUCCUGCUGCAUUGUGGGGGUUGGAUAGUUUCGGCGGUCGGGGAUGGACUCGCGGCUUAUGGGUUUGCUGGUUGGGUAGUGGCUUACCAAGGCUGUGAAGGGUAGCCGGCCUGAGAGGGUGACCGGCGACAAGGGGACUGAGAUACGGCCCAGACUCCUACGGGAGGCAGCAGUGGGAAAUAUUGCACAAUGGGAGGAAGCCUGAGGCAGCAACGCCGCGUGCGGGAUGACGGCCUUCGGGUUGUAAACAGCUGUCGCCUGUGACGAAGCGGGAGUGACGGUAAUGGGUAAAGAAGCACCGGCUAACUACGUG